ACGCUCGACACCUACGGGAGGCAGCAGGUGGGGAAUAUUGCACAAUGGAGGAAACUCUGAUGCAGCGAUGCCGCGUGAGGGAAGAAGGUUUUCGGAUUGUAAACCUCUGUCUUUGGGGACGAUAAUGACGGUACCCAAGGAGGAAGCUCCGGCUAACUACGUGCCAGUAGCCGCGGUAAUCUGAGCGGGCUGGCAAGGC
rnacentral:rRNA from 1 species